GAAAUGCGAUAAUUAAUGUGAAUUGCAGAAUUCAGUGAAUCAUCGAGUCUUUGAACGCACAUUGCGCCCCCUGGUAUUCCGGGGGGCAUGCCUGUCCGAGCGUCAUUGCUGCCCUCAAGCACGGCUUGUGUGUUGGGCUUCCGUCCCUGGCAACGGGGACGGGCCCAAAAGGCAGUGGCGGCACCAUGUCUGGUCCUCGAGCGUAUGGGGUUUGUCACCCGCUCCCGUAGGUCCAGCUGGCAGCUAGCCUCGCAACCAAUCUUUUUAACCAGGUUGACCUCGGAUCAGGUAGGGAUACCCGCUGAACUUAAGC
rnacentral:misc_RNA from 1 species